UGCAGCUUACCUGGUAGAAAGGAACCUAUGCAUUUAAGGAAGGGUUGCAGAUUAGGAAGGCCUGAUAGAGCCAUUAUCAUACAAGGAGAGCGGGGGGUGCUAUUCUAGGUACCAGUGAUGCAACAGUGAAGAAGACAGGCAGGGGAGAAGGGUAAAGAACUGGAAAACACAGACUGAGGAGUCUGAGCAGUCAAUGCCUCCAGGGCUGCUGACCUCCUCCACGAACACUCUUUGCUGAUACUGUGCCCCCUUCUCUCUUAUCAGCCGACCCUGCGGUGCAGACAGAUGGCAGCCCUCUUUGCUGCCAUUUCCACUUCAGCCCCAAGGUGAUGUUCACAAAGGUACUGAAGGCCCAGCUGUGGGUGUAUCUCCGGCCUGUGCCCCGCCCAGCCACAGUCUACUUGCAGAUCUUGCGACUGAAACCACUAACUGGGGAAGGGACUGCAGGGGGAGGGGGCGGAGGCCGGCGUCACAUCCGUAUCCGCUCACUCAAAAUUGACCUGCAUUCACGCUCCGGCCACUGGCAAAGCAUCGACUUCAAGCAAGUACUACACAGCUGGUUCCGCCAGCCACAGAGCAACUGGGGCAUCGAGAUCAACGCCUUCGAUCCUAGUGGCACAGACCUGGCUGUCACCUCCCUGGGGCCGGGAGCUGAGGGGCUGCAUCCUUUUAUGGAGCUUCGAGUCCUAGAGAACACAAAACGG
rnacentral:autocatalytically_spliced_intron from 1 species